GACAGAGGGUGCAAACGUUGUUCGGAAUUACUGGGCGUAAAGCGAGUGUAGGCGGUUUGGAAAGUCGGAUGUGAAAGCCCCCGGGCUCAACCCGGGAAGUGCACUCGAUACUCCCAGCUAGAGUAUCGGAGAGGUUGGCGGAAUUCUCGGUGUAGAGGUGAAAUUCGUAGAUAUCGAGAGGAACACCGGCGGCGAAGGCGGCCAACUGGACGAAUACUGACGCUGAGACUCGAAAGCGUGGGGAGCAAACAGG
rnacentral:rRNA from 1 species